AGCAGUAGCCGCGGGAAUACGAAGGGUGCAAGCGUUAAUCGGAAUUACUGGGCGUAAAGCGUGCGUAGGCGGUGAGUUAAGUCUGCUGUGAAAUCCCCGGGCUCAACCUGGGAAUGGCAGUGGAUACUGGCUCGCUAGAGUGUGUCAGAGGAUGGUGGAAUUCCCGGUGUAGCGGUGAAAUGCGUAGAGAUCGGGAGGAACAUCAGUGGCGAAGGCAGCCAUCUGGGACAACACUGACGCUGAGGCACGAAAGCGUGGGAAGCAAACAGGAUUAGAUACCCGCGUAGUCCCUGUCUCUUAUAC
rnacentral:rRNA from 1 species